AUGAUCAAUGAUUCAGACUUUGUUUUCUGGAGAGUGGAGCAGAAUUGCGAAAGCCCAAGUUUUGGAGUCUUGCUCUGUUAUUAAUCCUGACUCGAACACGUAGCAAGAGAAGUCACCCUUCUGUUCCUUCCCACAUUUAUGUAGUACCCGUGACAGCUAGUAUCUGCUGCUGUUAUCCCUCCCCAUCAGCGUAUGUGCAGAAGAGGAGUCCAUCUGUUGAGUUUUACCAUCCCGAGAGUUGCAUCCCCAGAGCAUCCUGAGGAAGGGGAGGACCUCAGUGGCGCAGAAAGCUCUCGGCCGCAGAGCCACCGCACGCCUCGAUGGGACGCUCGCCCUACCCGUGCCUUCAGAUAUGGGGCCUCCCCUUCGGUGGCUGCCUGCCUCCUACAAACUGUCUUUGUGCAGGGAAAGUGCUGGAAGGAAGAGCAUGGCUUUAGUAAAACCCUGGUAGUCCACGGCUACCAGACCUGCGGCUUUUCAGUAGCCAGCGGUCGGCAGGCGGUGUGGUAUCCCACUUGUGGCACGAUGCUUGUACUACGUUGCCCUUUUUACCUGUCCCUGCAGCGUAGAAAAGCUUCCUUACCUUUGGUUUUGCACCUCGUGUUAAUUUGCAAGUUUCUCCUUCGUCUCCUCUCAAUCUUACUGUCACCUGCAGCAAGCAAAAAGUCGGGGGGGAGUGGGAAAUUAAAAUCCAUAGUGAAUUUUCACUGAAUUACAGUUCCCAUGGGAAACUCGAGUUACCGUCGGAUGCCAAAGUGCUCUUGUCUGGGGCGUGGGUGUCUGCAGUGAGAGAACUUCCUAAACCUAUUUUUUUGCCCUAAGAUGUACUGUGUAUCCUAGGCUUGAAGGCAGUCCUUGAAAGCUAGCGGCUAAGUAAAUUAUCUUUUUUCUAGAGAGGCUCUAAAUCAAAUUAGAAAAUUACCCUCUGAUAGAUGACAAAGGCACUUGCCUGCCCAGGUCCCCUAGAACAGAGGUCAGUGUCGUAAUUGCUCGCUUACGGUACCAUAGUGUCUAAUGAUCUCAGACGGGAUUAAAUCAUAGGAGUAACGCUGCAAAAAAUAAUUAGAUAAGGCAUGCUUGGGUGACUUUGAAAUGUGCCUGAGUGGGGAAGUGAUGUGGUUAGCUUACCUGCAAGUGAUUAAGUUUCCGUGGAUGGUGUUAAGGAAGUUGCUCUCUCCCUAAAGUGGAAUAUUCUUCCUGGCGUUAAGUACGCUUUUUUUCACGUUGGUUGUGGCUCUGUAGCGGGAAUACAGCUUGCUUGCCUGGGACAUUCUGGGAA